rnacentral:rRNA from 1 species
GGACGAACGCUGGCGGCGUGCCUAAUACAUGCAAGUCGAACGAGUCCUCCCAAUUUGAUUUUAUGCUUGCAUAAAUGAUUUUUGGAUUCGGGACGAGUGGCGAACUGGUGAGUAACACGUGGGUAACCUGCCCUAAAGCAGGGGAUAACAUUUGGAAACAGAUGCUAAUACCGUAUAAUUAGUUGGAACCACAUGGUUCCAACUUGAAAGAUGGCUCUGCUAUCACUUUAGGAUGGACCCGCGGCGUAUUAGCUAGUUGGUGAGAUAAAAGCUCACCAAGGCGAUGAUACGUAGCCGACCUGAGAGGGUAAUCGGCCACAUUGGGACUGAGACACGGCCCAGACUCCUACGGGAGGCAGCAGUAGGGAAUCUUCCACAAUGGACGAAAGUCUGAUGGAGCAACGCCGCGUGAGUGAAGAAGGGUUUCGGCUCGUAAAACUCUGUUGUUAAAGAAGAACAAGUGUAAGAGUAACUGUUUACGCUUUGACGGUAUUUAACCAGAAAGCCACGGCUAACUACGUGCCAGCAGCCGCGGUAAUACGUAGGUGGCAAGCGUUGUCCGGAUUUAUUGGGCGUAAAGCGAGCGCAGGUGGUCUUUUAAGUCUGUUGUGAAAGCCCUCAGCUCAACUGAGGAAGUGCAGCGGAAACUAGGAGACUUGAGUACAGAAGAGGAUAGUGGAACUCCAUGUGUAGCGGUGAAAUGCGUAGAUAUAUGGAAGAACACCAGUGGCGAAGGCGGCUAUCUGGUCUGUUACUGACACUGAGGCUCGAAGCAUGGGUAGCGAACAGGAUUAGAUACCCUGGUAGUCCAUGCCGUAAACGAUGAAUACUAGGUGUUGGAGGGUUUCCGCCCUUCAGUGCCGCAGCUAACGCAUUAAGUAUUCCGCCUGGGGAGUACGACCGCAAGGUUGAAACUCAAAGGAAUUGACGGGGGCCCGCACAAGUGGUGGAGCAUGUGGUUUAAUUCGAUGCUACGCGAAGAACCUUACCAGGUCUUGACAUCUUCUGCCAACCUAAGAGAUUAGGCGUUCCCUUCGGGGACAGAAUGACAGGUGGUGCAUGGUUGUCGUCAGCUCGUGUCGUGAGAUGUUGGGUUAAGUCCCGCAACGAGCGCAACCCUUAUUAUUAGUUGCCAGCAUUAAGUUGGGCACUCUAGUGAGACUGCCGGUGAUAAACCGGAGGAAGGUGGGGAUGACGUCAAAUCAUCAUGCCCCUUAUGACCUGGGCUACACACGUGCUACAAUGGAUGGUACAACGAGUCGCGAAACCGCGAGGUCAAGCUAAUCUCUUAAAGCCAUUCUCAGUUCGGAUUGCAGGCUGCAACUCGCCUGCAUGAAGUUGGAAUCACUAGUAAUCGUGGAUCAGCAUGCCACGGUGAAUACGUUCCCGGGCCUUGUACUCACCGC